AUUGAACGCUGGCGGCAUGCUUUACACAUGCAAGUCGAACGGCAGCACAAACUUCGGUUUGGUGGCGAGUGGCGAACGGGUGAGUAAUGCAUCGGAACGUGUCCUGAAGUGGGGGGAUAACGCAUCGAAAGAUGCGCUAAUACCGCAUAAUCUCUGAGGAGAAAAGUGGGGGAUCGAAAGACCUCAUGCUUUUGGAGCGGCCGAUGUCUGAUUAGCUAGUUGGUAGGGUAAUGGCCUACCAAGGCGACGAUCAGUAGUUGGUCUGAGAGGAUGGCCAGCCACACUGGGACUGAGACACGGCCCAGACUCCUACGGGAGGCAGCAGUGGGGGAAUUUUGGGACAAUGGGCGCAAGCCUGAUCCAGCAAUGCCGCGUGAGUGAAGAAGGCCUGCGGGUUGUAAAGCUCUUUCGGCCGGGAAGAAAUCGCACAGGUUAAUACCCUGUGUGGAUGACGGUACCGGAAUAAGGAAGCACCGGCUAACUACGU
rnacentral:rRNA from 1 species